GUGCUCACUUUGGCAGCACAUAUAGUAAAAUUGAAAUGAUACAGAGAAAAGUAGCAUGGCCCCUAUGCAAGAAUGACAUGGAAAUUUGUGAAGCAGUCCAUAUAAAA
rnacentral:snRNA from 1 species